UUACAGCCAUAUCAUGUUGAACACACUAGUUCUCAACCGAUCACUAAAGUUAAGCAGCAUUCAGCCUGGUCAGUAGUAAGAUGGGUGAUUGUUUGGGAAUGUCAGCUGCUGUAA